AACAUACUACCUCCGUCCGGAAAUACUUGUCAUCAAAAUGAAUAAAAGGGGAUGUAUCUAGAUGUAUAUUAGUUCUAGAUACAUCCCUUUUUAUCCAUAUCGAUCACAAGUAUUUUUGUACGGAGGGAGUAUGCA
rfam:Triticum aestivum genome assembly, contig: Triticum_aestivum_CS42_TGACv1_scaffold_501704_6BL